GGGUGCAUAGCGCAGUGGUAGCGCGCAUGCUUUGCAUAGUCACAUGUGAGCAAUCACAUGGAAGUUGUAUGAGGUCCAGGGUUCAAUCCCCUGUGCAUCCA